rnacentral:misc_RNA from 1 species
CGCAUAUUUGCGUGUGGUGUCGCUUCUCGUGCGCUCCAUACUCCUCUUGCGUACACUGUUUUCCUUUUCUUCGGCGACGGAAAGGCAGUGGCAUCUCUUCUUGUCGUCUGCAUCGCUCCAAGCAUGCUUUCGAACGUGUGCAUUCCACUUGAUGCCGCGCACCCAUAGAUCUCUGUUCAUGUGCAUGAGCAGCGAGAACGCUGCCACCGCUGUUACACUCUCCUUGUGUUACUUGUUUUUCUUCUUAGAUCAAGCCCCUGACUCUCCCUUGUCUGUGCUAGGCGUCAACCAGCGAAGCCUUCACAGCAUCGUAUACCGCUUUUUUUUCGCUUGGUGCGUUGCGUCUAGCUCUGUGCUUCCUCUCUAUCCACCUGCCUCCUUUCAGUCCUCCAUCAUCGCGGUGCUGCCACGCAGUCGCUUCCUCCUUAUUGUCGUUCUGGUUCCCGCUGCUCCCACCGCCCUUGUCAUUCCGGAUGCGAGCCUACAUCGAUAGCAUCUGCAACCGCAAACCACCUUCCAAGGCGCCGCAGGUGCGGCCCACGAAGAGUGCGCUGCUGCUCCUGUCUCACCAGGAAGCGAAGAGGCGACAACUCGGUGACUCUCAAGCGGACGGCUCCAUUUCUGCUUUGAAGCGCCCGCAUCCGCAACCGCGUGCGGCAGCUGCCAAGUGGCCCCUGAAAGCCGCUCCCUCGGUGAGGCCACCACCCCGCCCUCUUGCAUGUCGCUCUCCGUCGCCACUGGCGCAUGAUGUGCUCGCUCGCACACCGGCCGCUUCCUCUGUGGUGGCGGCGGAGUCACCGUGGCACCCCCUUUUUACCUCUGCUUCACAGUCGCCGGCGACGUCACCGCGGCAGCAGCAGUGGCCGGCACGCCGUGCAUCGGAAGAGGAGAGCGAAGCAGGUGUUACUCGAGAGGAAUACUGGCCCAUGUUGGCUCGCUCAUUGGAGGCCGACAGGGAGACGCCCGUCGCAGUAGCGGCACACGGCGACCGCAGGUGGUACGACGAAACCGCGGAGGAUGGCGAAGGCGGACACCGAAAAGCCGGCGUAACGCACGCCUCGGCAGCAGAGAGGGGUGGCUGUGCAAAGUCGUCGCCCACUCGUGCAUGGCGGUCUGCAUGGACUCCGUGGCAUCCCCCGUCGCAUAAAGUGCAUCAGAAUCUAGUUCGGAGCGACGCUGCUUCGCCGUUCCAGACUCAUUUUCGCCUGCGGUAUCCUUCGUCGUCAUCUUGCACCUCUCCUGCCCCACACGCGCGCUCUGAGAUGGAGCCGCCGCGUGCACCGCGUGCAUCUGCAGCGCGUCCAUCUAUGACAAGCGGCACCCCUAGCAACAGCAAUCUUGCGGCUCUUUCUCGCCACUGCCCCACCUCCCCGGCAAGGGCGGUCGAUCUGAGCGAACCCCCUCGGUGUUGUCACCGGGUCUCGGCACCUCAGCAGCAGCCGCUGGCAAGAGUGCACGAGAGGCGCGAGAGCUACUCCAGUAGCGCUCACUGCACGACCGAUGCUGAUGUAAUCGCAGACACGCAGCGCCGGCCUGACUCGCCGCCGUGUCGGUCGUCACUGUCGUCGCUCUUCUCCUCGGGUUUCUUCAGCCGGGGGCCUGAAGCGGCCAUGCACCGCCGUGCUGGGCGUUACUCGACAGCAGCGCACCGAGCCGGGAACCCUUGCGCGCGUUUUCCUGCCACGGCGCAGAGCGCAGCCUCUUCGCUUACGGAGUCCCAGCAAGCGAGCCAACCGCGACCCGGCGCAGAUUAUCGCUGCCGUGACGUGAACAACUGCAGUCUGCGCGACUUGCAAGAGGGACUGUGCACUCGUCUGCAGAGACGUCUGCACGACCUCGAGACCUCGCCCUCGAGUAGCACCUCGCCGAUGGACUGGAAAGCUGCUGCGCAAAGCACUGCAUCAGCGCCUCUGCUCGCUGACACGGAUGCGACGCUGCGCCUCUGGCGUGAUACGCGGCGAGCGCUCCGGCAGCAGGUGAUGCAUCGCAGCGCCAUUCACGAUGUGCAGCGCAGCACCCCACUGAAAGGGCAAUGGCCUGAUGUCGAGGAGGGCGUAGUGAUGGACGACGUUGUGCGCCGCAUCCUCGCGGAGCGGGCCGCCUCGCGUGCAUAUCUACUUGCGGGUGCCGCCGCUGCGAACAGAGAGGAGCGCACUCGAUGACGUUACACGCUUGUAUGCACGCGGAUGCGUGGAUAGUCACGCAACGUUGAUUUGCUCUGUCUCUCUCUCUCUCUGCCACACGCUCCCCUUCCCCGUUGAACGCCACCUCCCUUUCCGCUUCGCUGCAGCCCGACUCGACCAGUCCAUGCCACGGCAAAACGAGGGCGAAGCGCCGACACGUAUGCGAAGGUCUUCUGCUCUUGAGCUGUAUGCGUGAGCGAGUCGGCAUGGAUCUGCAUGUGUGCCACGCUGCACUUUGCUUAGCACCCGCGCGAGUUUGCUUGCAUGGCACACAAUGCGGCGCCCACGUUGGCUGCCUUCUUGUGCUGCGACAGUCACCUACCCUCCCCCACUCGCCCUCUCUUCUCCAUCGGUUUUGCCACGCGUUCCGCGCUGCUACGCUCCGCGGCAACGUGUUUGACCUAUGCGCUUUUCUUUGGUCGCCUGGCGCCUCCGUUCACACACCUUC